rnacentral:tRNA from 1 species
GUAGGCAUAGUUUAACAAAAACAUUAGAUUGUGAUUCUAAAAAUAGAGGUUAAAUUCCCCUUGCUCACC